AACUAAAAUAAUCUCAAGAUAUUGAUAGAUCAAAGGAACUAUGAGUAUAGUAAAGAAACAAGAAAAAGUAGAGGGAAGAUAAAGGUGAGAUAAGGAAUGGUGCUCUUUCAGCAUGAAAGUAUGUUCUGGGUGGAGGUGCAGUGUAUGUGAGGGUGAUCUAAUAGGAUGGAGGUGCAGUGUGGAUGGAGUGUGAACGAUCAACAUAGAGGUGCUAUGUGGGUGGAGGGUGAUCUAUCAGGAUGGAGGUGCAGUGUGGGUGGAGGGUGAUCUAUCAGGAUGGAGGUGCAGUGUGGGUGGAGGGUGAUCUAUCAGGAUGGAGGUGCAGUGUGGGUGGAGGGUGAUCUAUCAGGAUGGAGGUGCAGUGUGGGUGGAGGGUGAUCUAUCAGGAAUGGAGGGGUGCGAGUGUGGGUGGAGGGUGAUCCUCAGGAUGGAGGGGCAGUGUGGGUGGAGGGUGAUCUAUCAGGAUGGAGGUGCACUGUAGGUGGAGAGGAGUGAUCCUAUCAGGAUGGAGUGCUGUAGGUGGAGGGUGAUCUAUCAGGAUGGAGGUGCAGUGUGGGUGUGUGAUCUAUCAGCAUGUAGUUAUGUGGUGGGUGGUGGACCCAUAUUUGUAGUAGCUCCUCCUCUUGCUAGCAUGUAAGAACCCAUCCUGUUAGGUUAUCAUACUCAAGACAUACCACCCUGAAGGACGUAUAGUGUGGGGCUCUAAUUCAACAUCCUGUUAUCUUUGGAAGUCUUCAUAGCUAAUUACAGUACAGUCAUAUUAGGGGUUAGGGCUUUAAUGUAUGAAUUUUGGGGGACACAAUUCCAUGCAUGUCACUACCAAACUCAUUUCCACAGAAGUUUCACUGUUUUAUAAUUCCACCAAUGGUAUAGAAGGCCUCCAAUUUCCCCACAUGCUUGGAAACAGUUAUUAUUUUCUGUUUUUUUGCUUGUAGCCAUCCUAAUGGAUGGGAGGUAUGACCAUGGCCCUUCGUGUGGGACCUGGGACACAAAUACAGUAUAUAUCUAGAAUCCUGAAAUGCACGCCCUUGGGAGACAACAGAAGAGGACCUGAGGGAAAGAGAGCUGCAACAAGAACUCCCAGCUUCCCAGUCUGUCUCCAGAGGAAUUCUAAGAGCUAAGGUUCCCAGGCUUGCCACGCAAAUAAGCAUAUGCUAGGGGUUUUAAACCAUGGUCAAGGGAAAAAGGUUUUCACCUGGUCUUUUCACAUUUCGAUUUUCAAGACUGCAGAUUACAUUUUCUGGUUUUUUUUUUUUUAAAGAAAUUUUCCUCUAGAAUUAUUUCUUACUAGGUCUUUCAUUAUUUUAUUAAAUUGCAGGUGAUUGAAGUUUGGUGUACAAAUGAUCCCUUCACCCAGGUAGUGGGCAUAGUUUCCGACAGGUAGUUUUGCAACCCUCUUUCCCCACCCUCUCCCCUCUAGUAGUCCCCAGUGUCUAUUGUCCCCAUCUUUAUGUCCAAGUGUACUCAAUGUUUAGCUCCCACUUAUAAGUAAGAUCGUGUGGUAUUGGUGUUAUAUUCUUUUUGUUGGGGAAAGGAGACACUGGUGUAAAGAAUUAUUCUGAAAUAAGGGAUGUUGAAUUUCAUUUCCUCCUAGUUAGAUUCACACAGGUUCUUCUUCCCUCAGCUCUGUUUCUUCCACCUGGUGGGAGAGGAUAUCUUCAGUCCCCUCUGUCUCUGCCCAUUAUGGGUGGUUAUACUUGGUUCUAGAGCUAAUCCUGAUUAAGCAAGGAAGUCUGUAGGCAGCAGGAUGUCCCUGAUAGUGAGACCUGGAAUUAGUAUUUGGUGCUUCUAGAAUAAGCCUUGGACAUUUUCAUGUCGACUAGACACACAUUUCUCCUAAUCAGUGUUUGCUCAGUGCAAACAACUGGAUGGCCACAUCACUUCCCUCGACAGCCCAGGAGCUCCUUUCCAUUUUCCGAAGCUAAGUAGAUUAGGUUGCAUCCAUGACAUGCACUUGGGUUUUCCAGCCUCCAUGACAUUUUCCAUGUAUCUGGGCUUCUGCUCCAAACUAGACCAACUGCUCUCCUACUUAACUCCAACGACAGCCACUUUGUUACUACUCCUGCUACAAUGAUCCAUCUGCUGAAUCUAUUUCUUGGGGUCCACAGCCCUAUGACAACAGGUUUGCUUCUAAACAGCCAGACUCACACAGCUCAGUGAGUUUUACUAAUUCAGUUUCUGCUUCCAGCCCAAAUUAUUAGUCCCAUCAUGUCUUGAAGGUGUACUACCUUAGUUAAUGAUGCUGACUUCCUCUGCCCCUUCUCAUCCCAAAGUUAUUUCCCCUAGAAAAGGUAGUUAACAUCAUAUCUGAUCAUCAGAGAUCAACCCAAAAUUCUUGCAAUAUGUACUGUUUCAAAGUAAUUUACAUAAAAGAAGAAAAUAAUGUCUCAUUACUAUACUAAUUCAGGUCUUACAUGAAGAAAUUAGGUUGCCAUCCAACUUUUGAUGUAUCCUUUCAGCCCAGAUCUCUUGUAAGUUUCAUAUCCAUAUAUCUAAGUUAGAUGUAUCUACCUGGAUGUAUAUCAGGUAUCAAACUCAGCAUAUCACACACUGAAACUCAUACUUUUUACUUGUGUCCUUCCCUACUUCUCUCUCCAAUGACAGUAGCUUUUUAGAUUUCAAUAAUCCAUAGUCUUUUGCCUAGCCUGACCUUGACCUGUGAAAAAAACAGCUAGCUCCUGCAUGAAAAAUAAAAUACAGAGCAUAAAACCUUUUACAGAUUGAAAAUAAUGGGCCCAUGUUGGAUAAAUUAUUUUUUUGCUAACUACAAUAGCAGUGUUUUAAACACUCAGCUAAAGUCUGCCAUGUGGGAAAUAAAUGAAACAAUAUUUAUUUUAACAAAUAUUUACUAUAUGCUAGGCACUGUUCUAAGAGUUUUGUAAAUAUUAAUUCACUUAACACACAUAAUAUUUUUAUGAGGUAGUUACUGUAACUGUAUUUUUAAAAAGAGGAUAAUGAUUCACAGAGAGUUCGGAAACUAGUAUAAGGUCACAGGACCAGGAUUUGAGCCAGGUAGUUUGCUUCCAGAACCCAGGCGCUCAGCUACUGCACUGUGCUACUUCUCCAUGUGUGGUGUAGAAACAUGGGGAAAAUAUUUGUCAUGGCAAAAUUUUAUUUGUUACCUUUGGCAUUAUUUACAAUUAUAAAAUAUUAUUCACAUAUUAUAAUACCAGUCAUGUGGAGUAGUUGGGUAGAUAAGUUAUUAUCAUUGCAGAAACUACAUAUUGCAGAACUAAUGUCUUUAUAGAAGAGGGACUUUGCUUUUUCUAUUCAUAUGUAAGAGACAUACAGGUGCUACUAGUGUACACUAUUAACCUUAUUCAAAAGGCUAACUACAGGAUAUCUUCUUUGAGGAAUUUUAUCACUGUAUUUCUCUGGCACACGUGGACGCAAUACCUCAUUGCUUUUCACUUGUGAUGAUGUCAUUUUUUUAUUGCUCUACAUCAUCUAUCCAUUGAACAUGUUGCUUGAUAUGUGUCCUCUGUAAGUACAUAGCAAGAUUCUCAAAGUCAAGAAAAGUAUCUUGUAAUUUC
ensembl:lncRNA